ACUCAAAUGAAUUGACGGGGGCCCGCACAAGCAGCGGAGCGUGUGGUUUAAUUCGAGGCUACACGAAGAACCUUACCUGGACUUGACAUACGGCUAGUACUGAACCGAAAGGGGAAGGACCGCAAGGAGGCCGUACAGGUGCUGCAUGGCUGUCGUCAGCUCGUGCCGUGAGGUGUUAGGUUAAGUCCUGUAACGAGCGCAACCCUCGGCUGCAGUUACAUGUGUCUGCAGCGACUGCCCGUGACAAGCGGGAGGAAGGUGGGGAUGACGUCAAGUCAGCAUGGCCUUUAUGUUCAGGGCGACACACACGCUACAAUGGUCGGUACAAUGGGUGGCCAAGCCGCAAGGCGGAGCCAAUCCAGCAAAGUCGAUCUCAGUUCGGAUUGGGGGCUGCAACCCGCCCCCAUGAAGUCGGAGUUGCUAGUAACCGCGCAUCAGCUAUGGCGCGGUGAAUACGUUCCCGGGCCUUGUACACACCGCCCGU
rnacentral:rRNA from 1 species